UACGGAGGGUGCAAGCGUUAUCCGGAUUCACUGGGCUUAAAGGGUGCGUAGGUGGGCAGGUAAGUCAGUGGUGAAAUCUCCGGGCUUAACUCGGAAACUGCCAUUGAUACUAUCUGUCUUGAAUACCGUAGAGGUUAGCGGAAUAUGUCAUGUAGCGGUGAAAUGCUUAGAUAUGACAUAGAACACCGAUUGCGAAGGCAGCUGGCUACACGAAUAUUGACACUGAUGCACGAAAGCGUGGGGAUCAAACAGG
rnacentral:rRNA from 1 species